rnacentral:SRP_RNA from 1 species
GGAAGGUCGGCGCGGGCGGUGUUUUCGCCAACCCGGUCAGGACCGAGAGGUAGCAGCCGUAACGAACUUCAACGGGUCGUGUCCGAUCUUCCGCU